ensembl:lncRNA
GGGAUUUUCCGGGCAAGAGUACUGGAGUGGGGUGCCAUUGCCUUCUCCACUCCCGCAUUGUAGGUGGAUUCUUUACCAGCUGAGCUAUCAGGGAAGCCCUGGAGGCAGGUCAAGCAUUACUAUCCCCAUUUGACAGAUGUAAAUACUGAGGCACCACUUCCAGAGUAGGAAGGACUACCCACAGCUGGGGUCUGAGGAAGUGAAGGCACCCACUACUUUCAGCACCUGCCCAAGGCCUCGCUGCCAGGAAACAGCAGGGGUAGAAGACUGAAGGCAGGCCUUUCACCUUGAUUCUUGCUUCCCUUACCUUGGCCAGCUUUCUCAGAACUGCGAAGUCCAGUCUCCUCUUCUGCUACAGGGACCAUCCCUCCCAGUUCCUCCUGUUUUCCCUCCUCACCCAUUCAUUGGUUCCCCUACCAGCCCCUCCACCUCUGUGCAGCCUCAGACAUGCCAAGAAUCCUUCUAUAGCUGUAUCCUCUCCUUGCCCUAGACUUACAAAGUAUAUCUUUUAAAAAUGCGGUUGCUUUUAGAGUCUUCUCUGAUAGAGAAUAA